rnacentral:rRNA from 1 species
UACGAGUGGUGCGAGCAUUAUUCGGAAUCAUUGGGCGUAAAGGGUGUGUAGGCGGUAUAUCAAGUCUGUUGUUAAAUCUCCCAGCCUAACUGGGAAAAUGCGGUGGAAACUGGUGUACUAGAAGAUGGAAGAGAGAAGUGGAAUUCUCGGAGUAGCGGUAAAAUGCGUAGAUCUCGAGAGGAACACCAAUGGCGAAGGCAGCUUCUUGGUCCAAUCUUGACGCUGAGGCACGAAAGCGUGGGUAGCAAACAGGAUUAGAUACCCUGGUAGUCCACGCCCUAAACGAUGAUCACUUGAUGUUGGUUUUGCUUUUUGCGAAGUCAGUAUCGUAGCUAACGCGAUAAGUGAUCCGCCUGGGAACUACGGUCGCAAGACUAAA